GAACCGCCCAAACGUUAUUCGGAAUCACUGGGCUUAAAGGGUGCGUAGGCGGUCCGGUAAGUUGGGUGUGAAAGCCCUCGGCUCAACCGAGGAACUGCGCCCAAUACUGUCGGGCUUGAGGGAGAUAGGGGUGAGCGGAACUUAGGGUGGAGCGGUGAAAUGCGUUGAUAUCCUAAGGAACACCGAUGGCGAAAGCAGCUCACUGGAUCUCUUCUGACGCUGAGGCACGAAAGCCAGGGGAGCGAACGGGGAUUAGAUACCCCGGUAGUCCUGGCUGUAAACGAUGAGCACUAGGUUGGAGACCCCUCCCCAUAGGUUUCCGACCGUAGCGAAAGUAUUAAGUGCUCCGCCUGGGGAGUAUGGUCGCAAGGCUG
rnacentral:rRNA from 1 species